rnacentral:rRNA from 1 species
CAGUGGAGCAUGUGGUUUAAUUCGAUGCAACGCGAAGAACCUUACCUGGGCUUGAACUGCAGGCGUAGUCGCUUGAAAGAGCGGCGAACUCCUUCGGGAAGACCUGUAGAGGUGCUGCAUGGCUGUCGUCAGCUCGUGUCGUGAGAUGUUGGGUUAAGUCCCGCAACGAGCGCAACCCUUGCCAUUAGUUGUCAGCGAGUCAUGUCGGAUACUCUAAUGGGACUGCCGGUGACGAGCCGGAGGAAGGUGGGGAUGACGUCAAGUCAUCAUGCCCCUUAUGACCUGGGCUACACACGUGCUACAAUGGUUGGUACAACGAGUUGCGAGUCGGUGACGGCGAGCUAAUCUCUUAAAGCCAAUCUCAGUUCGGAUUGUAGGCUGCAACUCGCCUACAUGAAGUCGGAAUCGCUAGUAAUCGCGGAUCAGCACGCCGCGGUCGAAUACGUUCCCGGGCCUU